GAGAAAUUAGUAAUAAACAUUACAUUAUUUUGUCAAAGUAAAAUUAUAGGUUAAAUCCUUUAUUUCUC
rnacentral:tRNA from 2 species